CAGCAGCCACGGGAAUACGUAGGGUGCAAGCGUUAAUCGGAAUUACUGGGCGUAAAGCGUGCGCAGGCGGUUAUAUAAGACAGAUGUGAAAUCCCCGGGCUCAACCUGGGAACUGCAUUUGUGACUGUAUAGCUAGAGUACGGCAGAGGGGGAUGGAAUUCCGCGUGUAGCAGUGAAAUGCGUAGAUAUGCGGAGGAACACCGAUGGCGAAGGCAAUCCCCUGGGCCUGUACUGACGCUCAUGCACGAAAGCGUGGGGAGCAAACAGGAUUAGAUACCCCGGUAGUCCCUGUCUCUUAUAA
rnacentral:rRNA from 1 species